AGGACGAACGCUGGCGGCGCGCUUAAUACAUGCAAGUCGAGCGAGAACCGGACCUUCGGGUCCGGGGAAAGCGGCGAACGGGUGAGUAACACGUGGGUAAUCUGCCCUCGGUACUGGGAUAGCCCGGGGAAACCCGGAUUAAUACCGGAUAGCCUUUCGAGCUCUCGGGCUCGUUAGAAAAUGGUGGCUUCGGCUUCCGACUGAGGAUGAGCCCGCGGCGGAUUAGCUUGUUGGUGAGGUAAUGGCUCACCAAGGCUCCGAUCCGUAGCUGGUCUGAGAGGACGAUCGGCCACACUGGGACUGAGACACGGCCCAGACUCCGUACGGGAGGCAGCAGUAGGGAAUCUUGCGCAAUGGGACGAAAGCCUGACGCAGCGACGCCGCGUGCGGGAAGAA
rnacentral:rRNA from 1 species